rnacentral:rRNA from 1 species
UACGUAGGGACCAAGCGUUGUUCGGAUUUACUGGGCGUAAAGGGCGCGUAGGCGGCAAUUCAAGUCAGUUGUGAAAUCUCCGAGCUUAACUCGGAACGGUCAACUGAUACUGUUUUGCUAGAGUGCAGAAAGGGCAACUGGAAUUCUUGGUGUAGCGGUGAAAUGCGUAGAUACCAAGAGGAACACCUGCGGCGAAGGCGGGUUGCUGGGCCGACACUGACGCUGAAGCGCGAAAGCCAGGGGAGCGAACGGG